AUCUUCCGCAAUGGGCGAAAGCCUGACGGAGCGACGCCGCGUGAGUGAUGAAGGCCUUCGGGUUGUAAAGCUCUGUGGGGAGAGAAGAAUAAACGUCGGCCAAUACCCGGCGUGAUGACGGUAUCUCCUUAGCAAGCACCGGCUAACUCUGUGCCAGCAGCCGCGGUAAGACAGAGGGUGCAAACGUUGUUCGGAUUUACUGGGCGUAAAGCGGGUGUAGGCGGCUUGGCAAGUUGGAUGUGAAAGCCCACGGCUCAACCGUGGAAGCGCAUCCAAAACUGCUUCGCUCGAGUCUCGGAGAGGAAGGUGGAAUGCUUGGUGUAGAGGUGAAAUUCGUAGAUAUCAAGCAGAACACCUGCGGCGAAGGCGGCCUUCUGGACGAUGACUGACGCUGAGACGCGAAAGCGUGGUGAGCAAACAGG
rnacentral:rRNA from 1 species